ACUCUAGAGAUAGAGCUUCCCCUUCGGGGGCAAAGUGACAGGUGGUGCAUGGUUGUCGUCAGCUCGUGUCGUGAGAUGUUGGGUUAAGUCCCGCAACGAGCGCAACCCUUAUUGUUAGUUGCCAUCAUUUAGUUGGGCACUCUAGCAAGACUGCCGGUGACAAACCGGAGGAAGGUGGGGAUGACGUCAAAUCAUCAUGCCCCUUAUGACCUGGGCUACACACGUGCUACAAUGGGAAGUACAACGAGUCGCGAAGUCGCGAGGCUAAGCUAAUCUCUUAAAGCUUCUCUCAGUUCGGAUUGUAGGCUGCAACUCGCCUACAUGAAGCCGGAAUCGCUAGUAAUCGCGGAUCAGCACGCCGCGGUGAAUACGUUCCCGGGCCUUGUACACACCGCCCGUCACACCACGAAAGUUUGUAACACCCGAAGUCGGUGAGGUAACCUUUUUGGAGCCAGCCGCCUAAGGUGGGAUAGAUGAUUGGGGUGAAGUCGUAACAAGGUAGCCGUAUCGGAAGGUGCGGCUGGAUCACCUCCUUU
rnacentral:rRNA from 1 species